CCAAGCGUCCUCCUCCUUCAGCCGCCCGGGUGACGAUCGCGUCCUUAGGACCUCAGACGGGCGCAACCAGUAGCGCGAAUUUGCCCAAGGCUUCCCCUAUCCUGAUUGGGGAAGGUACCUCUGCUCCCGUCCAAGUCCAUUCUGCUAUCCAUUCGGUCGGUCGGUCAACCGCAGCUGCCAACAUCAAUCCUACCGCCGAAGUGGCUUCUGAGUCAG
rnacentral:lncRNA from 1 species